GCGCCUCUAGCUCAGUUGGUAGAGCAACUGACUCUUAAUCAGUGGGUCCAGGGUUCGAGUCCCUGGAGGCGCACCA
rnacentral:tRNA from 1 species